rnacentral:rRNA from 1 species
CCAAUAGCGUAUAUUAAAGUUGUUGCAGUUAAAAAGCUCGUAGUUGAAUUUCGGGGUUAGUAGGUCGGUCAUGCCUCAGGUAUGCACUGGUCUCACUGAUUCCUCCUUCCUGAUGAGCCGUAAUGCCAUUAAUUUGGUGUUGCGGGGAAUCUGGACUGUUACUUUGAAAAAAUUAGAGUGUUUAAAGCAGGCUAACGCUUGAAUACAUUAGCAUGGAAUAUGGGAAUAGGACGUUCGAUCCUAUUUUGUUGGUUUCUAGGAUUGACGUAAUGAUUAAUAGGGAUGGUUGAGGGCAUUAGGAUUCAAUUGUCAGAGGUGAAAUUCUUGGAUUUAUUGAAGACUAACUACUGCGAAAGCAUUUGCCAAGGAUGUUUUCAUUAAUCAAGAACGAAAGUUAGGGGAUCGAAGACGAUCAGCUACCGUCGUAGUCUUAACCAUAAACUAUGCCGACUAGGGAUCGGAUGAUGUUAAUUUUUUAAUGACUCAUUCGGCGCCUUACG